rnacentral:rRNA from 1 species
GACAAACGCUGGCGGCGUGCCUAACACAUGCAAGUCGUACGAGAAAGGGUCCUUCGGGGCCUGAGUAAAGUGGCGCACGGGUGAGUAACGCGUGGAUAAUCUGCCCUUCAGUUGGGAAUAACUCAUCGAAAGGUGGGCUAAUACCGAAUAAUGCUGUGAGACCUCGGUUGAUCAGCCAAAGAGAGCCUCUGCUUGCAAGCCCUCGCUGAAGGAUGAGUCCGCGUACCACUAGCUAGUUGGUAGGGUAAUGGCCUACCAAGGCGACGAUGGUUAGCUGGUCUGAGAUGAUGAUCAACCACACUGGAACUGAGACACGGUCCAGACUCCUACGGGAGGCAGCAGUGAGGAAUCCUGCGCAAUGGGGGCAACCCUGACGCAGCAACGCCGCGUGAGUGAGGAAGGUCUUCGGAUCGUAAAGCUCUGUCGGAUGGAAAGAACCGCAUAGGGGUAAACAGCCCCUGUGUCUGACGGUACCAUCAAAGGAAGCACCGGCUAACUCCGUGCCAGCCGCCGCCGUAAAAC